GAUGAACGCUGGCGGCGUGCCUAACACAUGCAAGUCGAACGGAGAUUUAACGCUGAUGAAGCUUCGGCAGAAUCUUGUUAAAUCUUAGUGGCGGACGGGUGAGUAACGCGUGGGCAACCUGCCUCAUACUGGGGGAUAACAGCUGGAAACGACUGUUAAUACCGCAUAAGCGCACAGAGUCGCAUGACUCAGUGUGAAAAACUCCGGUGGUAUGAGAUGGGCCCGCGUCAGAUUAGCCAGUUGGCAGGGUAACGGCCUACCAAAGCGACGAUCUGUAGCCGGCCUGAGAGGGCGGACGGCCACAUUGGGACUGAGACACGGCCCAAACUCC
rnacentral:rRNA from 1 species